rnacentral:rRNA from 1 species
UACGUAGGGGGCAAGCGUUGUCCGGAUUUAUUGGGCGUAAAGAGCGUGUAGGCGGCCAUACAGGUCCGUUGUGAAAACUCGAGGCUCAACCUCGAGACGUCGAUGGAAACCGUAUGGCUAGAGUCCGGAAGAGGAGAGUGGAAUUCCUGGUGUAGCGGUGAAAUGCGCAGAUAUCAGGAAGAACACCUAUGGCGAAGGCAGCUCUCUGGGACGGUACUGACACUGAGGAGCGAAAGCGUGGGUAGCAAACAGG